GUUGCCUGUGAAACGAAUCUUAGUUCACUCUUAAUUCUUCUCCAAGGAAACCCACGAACCCUAAUGAAGCGAAUUAAGGGCUAUUUAAAGGAGGUACAGCUCCUUUAAAAAAGAAUACAAUCUCCACGAGCGGAUAAGUACCCCCCCCAACAACUACUGUGGGCCCUCAAGCAGCCAUCAACAAAGAGUGCGUUAAAGCUCAACAAAUCAAAAAUAUAAAAACUAUACGAAUCCCUCCUCACUAACGGGCUAACCUAUAUUUCAAUAGGAGAAUUAAUGCUAGAAUGAGUAACCAGGGUCCUCCCUCUACGACGCAAGCUUACAUCCUAACAUUAUUAACAAGCCACCAAUAUACGAAAAAUCCAACAAGCAGAGUAUUAGGCAUAUUGUUAACCCGACAAAGGAGCGUCCGCUAAGAAAGAUUAAAACCUGUAAAAGGAACUAGGCAAACCCAAGGCCCGACUGUUUACCAAAAACAUAGCCUUCAGCUAACCCAAGACAAGUAUUGAAGGUGAUGCCUGCCCGGUGACCUGACGUUCAACGGCCGCGGUAUCCUA
rnacentral:rRNA from 1 species